AGGCCUGACUUCUGCUCCCAGUCGACCCAGUCGACCCGGGUUCAAAUCCGCCUGCCGGCUCCUCGGGUGUUUGAGGAGUGAUGAAAUGGGAGGUGGCGCCCCAUCAUAUGGACGGUGUAGGACGUGAUAAUAUCAACUUGCGAGCUGACCAGGAACUAAGUUGAUGCGCCGUUGAUCCGCUAGAUUUGGUUGGAUGCUGGUGGUGAGUUGCCGAACCCAACGAAUACAUUCUGAAGUCGGAUGGGGUGACGGAUUAGGGUGCCCCUCUAGCAGGGGAGAGCAGGGACUGCCCCGGGAAAGGGGGCCGCUGGCGAAGUUAACCACCCUGUAACAACAUACAUACAGACAGACAUACAGAUAGACAUGCAUACCGACAUACGGACAUACAUAGACAUACAGAGGCGGACAUACAUAUAGACAUACAGACAUACGGACGUAUAGACGUACAGAGGCAACUCGUUUGGGCAGCUGGGUGGGAAAAAGUGCUCCCCGCUGCGGGCCCCAUCACACCAAGGGCCCCCCAACCCAGUAAUGGACUUGGGUCCCAUCCGUAUGUAUAUCCAUGCAUCCACCCACCGGCGGAAGGAAAAGCCCUGCCUAGCCAAAUUCAUCCAUCUCGUGCACCCUUCCAUUCCCAGGAGCUACACAGAGGUAGAGAGCAGCAGCCCGAAUCAAAACCCCAAGUUAACACAAGAUCCAGGAAGUGAAGUUGCCCCUCGACCCCUUUGUUGAUUCCGAUAUCAAAGAAAACACACAGGCGCCCCUUCGCUGGCUGAAAAGUAAGCUUAGGUGCCCCCCCCCUUGGUAGUUUUGGGUGCGCGUGGUGGUCGCUUCUUAGGGCGCUUUGCUGCCGGUGCGCGGUCCUGCGGCGGGGGUGGCACCCCCUGCGGCGGCGGCGGCGGCGGCGGAGAUGCACGCUUUGGCAGCCGCGGCGGCGACUUCAGCGGUGUGAUUCGCGGUGGCGGUGGCGAUGGCGGCGGCGGCGGCGGCGGCGGGGAUGGCGGCGGUGACGGCGGUGGUGGCCGUGGUGGCGGUGGUGGCGAUGGCGAUGGGGGUACUCGCCGCGUUAGUGGGGUUGGGGCUGAAAGCGACGCCGGUACACCGCUGCAGUCUGGGUCCGCAUCAUCCUGCGGUGCACAGCCAACAUCAUCAGAACCAUCAUCAUCAUCAUCAUCAUCAUCAUCAAUCAUUCAGCAGUAUUGCUUACCAAGCAUUCUGCAUUUGCUCACCAUGAGACCAUCGCAAUCGUUGUCGCGACCAUCAGAACACGAGUUCGUGCUGGCCUGGUAUUCCGACUCGCCACUGUAACGGCAGACGGUAACGGUGGCGUUGCUGGCUGACAGCGAAUUGACUUGUAUGAGCAAGCCGUACGUUUGACUGGUCCUGAACUCGUUGUCGGUAUUUAGCAUAGCUUGCUGGACUGACCGCAUGUACGAAUUAGUGGCCUGUGGUGGGCCGCCAGGUACGGCGGGAAAGCAGUACGGGGACCAGCUCAGGACAAAAACGGCACCCACGAUAGCGCAGUACAUGUACAUCAGGGCGGUACGAGGUUAAUAAUCGCUACCUGCCCCGGUAAACAACCCCCUGGCCUAACUUGAUAAGAACGGCAACCACUGCGCGCCGAAUACGUCGCUCCAUAAAACAAACACAUACACACACACACAUACACACACACAUACAUACAUAAGCACACAUACACACAUACACGCACACUCGCCUGUGUCCCCUGAAAGGUGUACACGUACACUCGGUUCGUAGCGGGACUGAGGUUUUCGAAAGGGGGUUCUUGGGUGCGCAGAGAGACGUAGAAGACAGGUGCAGGCGUCGAAGUGAGGCUCUUGGAUUCAGUACCCUUGAGGACCCAGGUUGGGUCGAUGCGGAUGAAGGACUGCGGUGACUUGUUCUGGCCAGGCAGAAUGAAGCGCCGAGGUCGCCCGACUUCAAAUGUCGUACCGUUCAGGUCGCCCCCCGGGACGGGUGACAGCCAGCCCAGGCGCCACAUGUUUGGUGUAUUAUAGCAGGUCCUGCCCCUGCGGUGGGCGUGUGUGCAGCGAUAAUGGUGGUGGGCGUUUGUUUGAUGUCAAGUGGGCGAGGCGAGGCGAGGAGCGACGAGAUCCAAAGCAGCAAACAUUUGAAAGGUGGCUCAGUCUUCAGGCCGGCCCUUCCCUUCCCCACCUCUUUGCCCCGCCCUCGUCAGACACACACACACACACACACACACACACACACACACACACACACACACACACACACACACACACACACAUACACACAUAUACAUACACCGAUUUGUUAAUGCUGCCAACUUUCAAUUCGCUUACAAAGUUCAUUUGCACACGAAUCAUCGGGACAUGAUUAGGAUCCGCAUUAUCUAAAUACCACGGAUUUUGGUAUUAUGUUCGUAGCUAUCGACGUCAAUACGGGGGUAGUUAGGGAAGUCAUUAAUAAAAUUUUGCGAUAUCAAGCAUCAAUCAUCACACAAAGCACGUAUCAACAGCGACAUGCAUCAGAGCUUUCAGGGCAAAACAUGGCCCGAACUCACAACACGACAACAACUACCUUACUACAUCGAUAGCACCCCACUACUCACUGGCCCAUUGUGCAGGAAGAGUCGGCGUACUCGUAUGCGACGCCCACGCGGCCCGAGUGCUGCAGCCCCAGGUUGUGGCCAAGCUCGUGCACGUAGGUGCUAGGGUCCUGAGAAUAGCGGCCGUUGAUCCAGGUAUAGCAACGAGACCCGCUGCAACCAACCGAACCCAUGCCUGCGCGCCAAUGCAUUUGGGUGCCAUCAUCAAGUGCUGCAAGUGGGCUCAGGGCUUGAAGGUUCUAGGCUUGAAGGGUUUUUUCCCUGCCCGUCGGUGUUGUCCACAUAGGGGUGGGCCUGACAGCGUGGGCCCUCAUCGCCCCGCAUCAUCGCUUCCCCUUGUUGUUAUCGUACGACCCCCAACGAGCGAAUGACGUACCAUUAUCAGGCUGCGACUGGGGUACUAAUAUUAUCACGGCCACUGUAACUAUUAUGUUAAUAUCAUUCUUUGCUGUUCUUCUAUAACGCCUUCCGGAGUUCAGGGAUCCAAGGGGCCCUACCUACGUAUCUAAUGCCGUGUGUGCUCCCGCCUUAUUAUGUAUGUAUGUAUGUAUGUAUGUAUGUAUGUAUGUAUGUAGCUCCCGCCACCACCAGCCACCACUUGGCCACGCAAAUGAUGAGAAAGAAGAGUGGAUAUGACCUCCUGCACAACCUGACCAGUCAGCCAGCCGCGAGCACACACAUAUGAGCGUGUAGCCGCUGUGGCCGCUGUGGCCUCCGCCGCAGCCCUUCAGCGCGGCUGUGAAGUGACGAUUCAGAGUGUGCUGGCCGGCCGGCCGGCAAGCUGAACGACCGCAGACCAGGUAGGCCCGGCCGGCAAGGCUUCUUUGCCUACCGCCAACUUGGCGCAUGGCAGCACACACGCACGCACGCACACACGCGCGCCACCAUGUAUGCUCAUUAUUAUUCCGUACCUGCCCAGAAGCAGUUCUGAUUCACUUCAUAGGGCAGCACUGCAAUCCGUUGCUUGACGCUGGAGAUAUUUUGGCCCAGUGUAUUCUGCACGUAGUCGUCGGCGAGAUCCAUCCAGGCAUACAGCUCCUACAUUGGGUGAUGGUGAUACCAGAUAGAUAGAGCGCAAGGGAACGACAAGUGAACGUUGUUGUAUCACGUCUUUUUCAGAAAAGAACCGAUCGGCGGAUGUCAGAUCCCGCGAUACCCAGGAUACUACAACGGCGAGCCCUGCCAAAAAGUGCCUUCCGAAACCCCCUGGGAUGUCGGGAAUGGCGGCUUUAUAUGCCUUCCAUGGUAGGCGGCCAACAGAUUUAGGGCUGCCUAACAACCCUAUUGUGGCCACUGCAUAUUCUGCCAUCCCUUUUUUAUGAGCUAAGACUGAUGGGGGCGGCGGAAUCGCCCCCUCCCUCGGUGGAACAGAGCGGAGAAGGGAGCAGUGCGUCUCUGCUGCUGGCUGCUGCUUGAUGCUGCGUCCGCUCGCGAAGUGAUGCGGGUGUGUGCCUUGUUGUCUCUUCUCGCCUCUUCCUGUACCUUUCCCGUCUACAUCUUGUUUGCGUUACGCGGCAGCAUCAGCAGCAGUACCACUGCUCUGGACGUCAGGUGGUCGAAACCCCUGUAACACCAUGCACUGUUUACUUUCACCAUGUGCUAUCCACACCUCUGCUUUUCAACAAAGAGCUUCAGGGCUUACUUUGCUUUGCGUCUUCCGCCCAACCGCAGUUUGCAACAGUGCCUUGCUCGCCCAGUCAAAAUACGCAAUGCAAGCAAGCAAGCAAAUGCUGUCCAAGAUAGAUUUCUCGUCCUCCGUAACGACCUGCCUGCUGGGGUAGCUGGGGUCACCUAUGGCAUACAGUAUGUCCGAUUCUAUAAGAUCUCUUGUGGUGAUGUUGUUAGGCAUAUCAACAGGCAUCCACAGCUUUGGCAUCAUUCCUCGUUCCUUACGUGAGUCCACGCCUCACCACCUUACUGAACGACAACACAUUUUUCACCGUUUUAAAAAGCGAAAAACGCAUGCACGUGUUGCUGCUGGUCAGAAUCACUGAUUGAACUCUUCAAUCAUUCCGUCACCCCCACCCCCACCCGCAUCUUCAUGAUGAGUCCCCAAGUGCUGAAGACCCCGUUUAUGCAGGGGGGUGUGUGUGGCGUCGGCAUGUAGGGCCAGGAAAAGCCACCCGACCCGCACCCCCCGUGUAUGCAUGUACGCGCAUGCCAGGCCCGCUGCGUGGCAUAUUAGUGUCUUGUCGUAUCUAUCGCCAAAAGAGCCUCAGAACCCGCCGAGAUCCAAGCAAUGUACCACAGUGCUUGUUUGAAGCUCUUACGUUCACAACGCAUUACAGGCGCUACAGGCAGUAAGGGCAUGCGUGCGCGCGUGCUUACCAACGAGCUGUCGCACUUCUUCGCAAAGUCGUACGACCGUCCGCCGUACGUCCCCUCACACGGCAGCUGCAUGUUGAUGAGGGACCAGCAGGCAGGGCAUGUACGGCGCUCGUCUGUAGCAGCAGCACUAAACAGGGUGCGGGUAAAACUCCUCGGACAGGUGCUCAAGUGGGAUGAUGGGAGAGAAAAUUAGCGCGGUGGGGUUAAAAAAACGUAAAUUUUAUGAAAAAAUCAACACCUCCGGAGGCGGGGACGAGACUCCGUCAGCCCCAACCGCUGCGCCCAGCUAUAGAUUUCACUACAGGCUCGCGAGCAGCCGUAAGAGAGCAUCUGGCACACGCAUGUACGGGUAAAGGAUAGGGUGCGCAUACAUAUGUACUACUAUACACUUGUGUCGUACAGAUGUACGGAAUUUAUGUGAGGUCAACACAAGACGUAAACGUUCACGCACCGAAACCUCAAAGAUGAGCUGCGUGGCGUUCGUCAUGCGGGUCGCGCCCUGAGAGCAGAAGCUCCAGUAGUUUUGCACCGUACGGGCAGUUGGCGGUGUGUCGGGACCGUUGAGCCAAAAAUCCCGGAACGACGCGGCGGUGAACAAAUUGUUCCAACCACAAAAGCUGAGCAGGAAAACGACGCUAGUGAUGUUCCUCGCACCACUUGGCGCGUCCUUGGGAGCAUCUUUACUUGCGAAACCGAAGCUCUCAAUUAUUUUGGCCCGCACUGGGGAAGUCUGCAGCCGUCGGCGGCGGCGAUGGUGGGCUUUCGAUGACUGCUCGUCGCCGACCGUCGUCGAACUCCUCGUCGUCGCUGCCGAGUCCUGGUCGGUAGUGGCGCCGUCACCUUCGCCGCCCGCUUCGACACUGAGCCGGACGAGCUGGCCAGCAAACUGCAGCGCCUCCGUCUCGUCCAGCAACACUGCAGUGACAUCUCCGCUGCCAUCCCGCAGUAAUGUUUCCGUGGAUUUUUCGUUGACAAGCACGUCCAGCUCGCCUGCAGACAACAAAACCGACGGACCCCGCAGCGUUGACCGUUCGAUUGUUUGAACACGAGGCAAAGGGUAAAUUGGGUGGAAGGGGUAGGUCAGCGCGCUGGUCUCGUUGUGGCCCCCAUGCAGGUCGGCGCCGGCGCCGGGGGAACUACUACGGGCUUGCGGGUGCCAUAAAAACGACGGGCAGAGAACUGACGUGCAAGUGGCCAUAGGUAGAUGACUACGUGUAUAGCUCGGUGGGGCUCUCGCUGCAGCUUUAGUUGGACCCGACUGCCGGACAAGUGGUGGUGUGCAUAAAAGAGUGUGUCGGGUUAUUUACUGACCAAGCAUAAAGACCCAACCAGCGCUGUUUUGACGAUGAGAUUAUAGCUAUAGCAGCUACAUAAAAUUCGUACUCUGUUUCGGCAACAAAAAUGGCGAGUCUAAGAGGGCGAACAGGUCCGGGCCAGGUAAGCACAUGUUGUAAUACAUUUUUACAAAUUGUUAUUUAACUGUCUAUACAGCUGGUCCAGGUCGGCUGUAUUCCCUAUUCGACCUGUAUGAUUUGGACAUGACCAGCCUUCCUUAGCGCAACCACGCGCAGCGCCCACAAAGCGGGGCCGUAGCCCAGCGUAAAACAGGCUCACCCUCUAACGUGGCAGCCUCUAACGCCGCUGGCAUAUUCGGGGCACGGGGACUUGGGGGAACUCGCGUGAUUCUUGGGGAUCGUGGCUUUUGUUGUCGUGCUGGUCUCCGAGGGGCAAGGGACAGCUGCAGAGGCGCAUUCGGAGGAGAUUCCGGUGGAGGCGGACCUGGUACGGGGGGGGGAGGGCUUGGUUCCAGGGGAACGCUUGGGGCCCGGGGGCUCCUGGGGGAUCGAGGUACAAGCGCCCGUACGGGUCGCCGAGGCGCGAGAGAUUGCUGGGUAGGAGCGCCGGGCAAAUCUAACCAGUGGAGGCGUCUUAAACUUGUCGAUGGAUCGUCCUCGCAACUGCAUGAUGGCAGUAAAGAGGCUCCAAGGUAAAGCAAAGCGAGAGUUGCAAAAGCCCUGCUCGUACAUUUGGUAACCAUGGCGACGAAACCAAGGCUGAAGCAGCGUUGCUAUGUUAUAUCAAGUUUCAUAUGUAGCCCUUAGAUAGUUAUGUUAGGCUUAACGCUUUUCCUGAUCUCCGGGGAGCUUAUAACCUAAACUGCAACGGUAUCUUAAACCCCUAAGAUACAACGACAACGUUUGUCCCCAAGUUACACCAUCCUGAUUCAUACUAAGAAAAUAUGAAAGUGCAAUAGGUAGUAUCAAUACGCUUCAGAAUUCAAAAAUGAUUUGCACCAAGUCUUUGCGCGUUGUGAACCGACAAUGUUCGUUUGCCAAUCCGGUGCCCGUUACUCUCCCUCCAGUGCCCAACCGCGCUCUUCCAGCCCUCAUGCCCAGUAACCCCGUAUGUGCUUUUACAUUGAAAAAUAAAGACACCGUGUCUGAGACCAAGUAGUGCAGUUCCAGCGUCUUCCAGCACGCUCCGAAAAAAGGAAGGGAACCGUGGCAUGCAAAGUGUUAGAAGGGGCAUUCCAUUUCAUAUUCAGUCAGUUCAUUGAGAAGAAAAAAUAUGUAGUCGUUAAGGCAUGAAUUCCGUGGUUUAGUUGUCCGCAGCCGACUCAUCUGUUCUCACGCACGACGAAGCGACGUCUUUUGCGACAACUUGUAUUAUACCAAAUUGUCGCAGUGACAUACAGAGCCCGUGGUUUGAAUCAGAGCUGCUAAAUGCUCAGAACUGAGGUAGCUGCAAAUCCGCCGCAAGCGUCCACCCUGCUGAACCGGCUUAUCCUAUCGGGAAACUGCUAAUGCUGCUGCUGGUCCAUUACCCCAGAGCCAAAAUUAUCAUCUCCAUGAUGAGGAUAUACACAAAUGUUGAAAUGCAAACAUGAUCGCCCACGCAUCCUGCACCUCCCCGCCUUAUGAGGCCGAAAGAAGUUUCGGCUCCCGAUACCCCAGAACGCCAUGUUGGCCUGCAUUUAUACACUCGAAAGGGACAGCUCCAGCACGCAUACACCGGCAUGUACCCACCCACACAGAUCAUUCCCCCUCCCCCAAGUUCCAAAGUGUGAAAGAGUCUCCAGCCUACUCGACCGUUGUUUGACCUUUCCAAAGGAAUUACAAUCCGUUCGGGAUAUAGCCGUAUUACGACGAAGGCUCCCGAGCCCCCAGCAAGCCAGCCAACCACGGACCACAAGCCGUAUGAAGGCCUCGUCUCCCGGCACCUACACCCACACCCACACCACCGCACAUCGCCCUCGUACGCCACGACCCACAAGCUACACCGGUUGGCUGCCCAACCAGGCACACCCGCACAAAAAAAAACAUUAUUUCAAAGCGCCAUUUGAAAGUCGAUACCAUGUUAACCGAAAGCAGCACUAUUACGCUGCUCCCUGCUCGUCCUGCCCUCCCUGCCGUACAUUCAACAACUCUGCAGCCCCCCAUCCUCCUCCCCGGUCUGAGACCGACGUCAACUGUUGCCCCGCCCCCCAACUGCUGUACCGCCCAGUGUUUAAGUUUUGUUAAAAAAAGGAAAUCAAUAAAAUAGAUUCGUUAAAAAGGAUACAUCGAGAGAGGGGGUUUUCGGCCCGGUCUAGGACUAGUGAAAAGGACACUGUCUAGGGUUUGUGCCCCCACCAGGAAGUCUCAACUCCAUCUUCUGCCACACGCCGGGGGGCUCUAACAUUGGGGGUGGGGGGCCCCUGGGGGCAUGUGGAUCUGCCGUACCCUCUUUGUGUGCCGCCCCCCUUGCGAGCGACCCCGCCCGCCUACCGGAAGCAACCGCGACCUCCACUGUGGGGUCUGAAACCGCUCCGAAAGAAGUUCUUAUUGCGGCCGGGCGGAUGGCUUGGAGGCUCUCGGCAAAUCAACGCGGUAUGUUACCGGGGGCCGCUGGGGGCCUCUUGCCGCUCCCCCCCGAGCACCUCACGGUCAAGGAAGAGUUUGUUAGCAGCAGCAGCAGCAGCAGCAGCAGCAACAGCAACAGCCCGAGGUGAAAAAACCAAAUUCCUUGGCUUUUGAGUAACAUUGAUAAUCCUCAAAACAAAAAUCGCUGAUCCGCGGGCCCUCCGACUCCGGCCCCCUCUACGCGGCCGCCGGCUGACCUUACAAUGGAGGGGGAGGGGGAGGGGGAGGGGGAGGAGGGGGGUCCUGCUGGGCGGCACAGUCCACCCCACCUCGCCUCUCCCCAACCGCCGCCACCACCCCGGCCGCCCGCUCCUGCUCCAAAACAUGCCGCAACACCACCUCCGCACCCGCCUUACUGAGUACGGCAUUGUAGUUACGGCACUCCAGGUGCUGUACGCACUGCGGACAGCCCUUGGCGUACGGGCAACGGCACUCCGAAACCAGCUGAUGUGCGCGCGCUAGCAACGCCGGAAAUAGCGGCGCUGCCGCCGCCGACAAACCUAUACCGCCGCGGUGCUUGUCGUACAGCAGCAAUCGCUCGAUGCGGUACCGCGCGUCGUACGGGUUGUCGCACUCAGUGGCCAGAUCCCGCAUGUUGGCGGUGAGGAAGAGGGGUGCCACGUUGAGCAGUGCGUGGUUGGCCCCGUGGCACCCCUCCCGGAAGGACAGCGCCCGCGCGGCGCACUCCCGCCGAGCUGAGGGCGGCACCCGCACGUAGGCCGCCUGCGUCGGGGGGGGUGGUAGGGGGGGGGUAGGGAAGGGGGUAGGGAGGGGGGAUGGGGGGGGCGGGCGGGGGGGUAGGGAGAGGGGUUGGGAGGGGUGGUAGGGAGGGUGGUAGGGAAGGGGGUAGGGAAGGGGAAAGACGAACCACGAACGAGUGAAGCUGCUGCCAAGGAAAGAGUGUACAAGAAGUAGAACUGACAACCGCGGAAACCUACCUACCUACCUACCUAGCCGCCAAGACUAAAGUAAGAGCGGAAGAAAAGCAGUAGAGCCAAGCCGUAAAGAAGUAAGUGUGGAAUGGAGGGAGGGAGGGGAUGGGGGAGGGAGGGGGUGGGGGAAGGAGGGGGUGGGGGAAGGGACGGGAACUAAGCAUAUGAUGUAGGUAGGAUGAUGACGCAACAAACAAACGAGCAGACAAGGUCCACAGCUGCCUCUAUACAAUUCCAAAGCACCCGCAAACUGCCACCAGCGCCAACACAGCCCUAGGUGCCCCACUAGGUGUAGCAGGUGCAGGAAGAUGAACAUCUGGCGGCAAUCAGAGCCGGGAGGGAGGGGAGGGGGGGAAGUGGAGGGGGGAGGAGAGGGAGGCAGCGGGGCACGCGGGGGAUGGAGGACGGCACCUCGCCUCCACCACCGCUUGACCGAAGUAACGGCGACGGUGGCCCAGACCCCACCCCACCCCACCCCACUCCACUCCAUCCCCCACCUGUGUGUCGUACACGACGUCCGGCAAGAACAGGUCAACAGAGUCAAACACGCGGUUGCUGCCCCCCUGCCAAACGCGGUGGAAGCCCAAGUAGCGAACCGCCACCACGGCGCUCUCACAGCGGGCGGUUGUGGGGGCGGUGGGGGUGGGGGGGGUGGCAGCAGUAGCAGCCGCGACAGCAGCGGAUGUGGAGGUGGUGGCGGCGGCAGAGGGUCCGGCGGGUGGCUGCAGCGGCAGUAGUCCCGCCGCGUGCUGGAGCGGGGCGGCGGCGGAGGAGGCGGGGUAGGCAACACGGCCACCUGAGCGGCACCAGCGGCACCAGCGAGUAAGUGAGGGCAGGAGUGGCAGUGGCGGCAGUGGCGGCAGUGGCGGCAUUGAAGGCAUUGAAGGCAUUGAAGGCAUUGAAGGCAUAUGGUAUAAAUUGCGGAUGAUGAUGCUAAGGGCGACACACUGUCCGUGAACGAGCGAUCCCGCACCACACCUCGGGCGGGACACACACGCAGGCAGACAACCGCACCACAUGUCCCAUCAUCUGUGUAUGUGCUGGUAACACCGCGGUUGCAUUACCCAGACAGAGAUAGGUGUAACGAGUGCACAUACACGGUGGGGGGCACAUACACAUACAAUACAUACAAUAUAUAUAUGUGAUAUACACAGACAGACAGACAGACACAUAUACAUACAUACAAAACACAGCCCCCAGCCCCCCAAUGAUACCCCCUCACCCGUAACGUGCACAUCCGUGAAGUCGCGGAUCUUGGUGUAGUACUUGACAUCCGCCCGCCGUACCAGGGCCACCCGCUCACCGAGAUUGAGCUGACGACACAAGUACGGCCGACCUUGGAACAAGUAUACGGCACCGUCGUACACCUGCACAAUAAUUGUACAUCGUACGACACGUUCGAGGUGGCGGUGCGCCAUCGCCGCCCGGGCCGAAGGGCAGUUAGAGAAGGUGUGGAGGAUAACGUGGCAGAGGGCAAGAUGGCUGUGGAGGUGGAGGUGGAGGUGGAGGUGGAGGUGGAGGUGGAGGUGGAGGUGGAGGUGGAGGUGGAGGUGGAGGUGGAGGUGGAGGUGGAGGUGGAGGUGGAGGUGGAGGUGGAGGUGGAGGUGGAGGUGGAGGUUAACGGCAACAACGGCCAGCGGAAGCCUCUACAGCCGCACACACUCUCCCCACCCUCCCACACUCACCCAUCUCACCCUCCCAACCCCCAACCCCUCCCACCUUUCCCCCUUUUCCCCCCUCCCAACCCCCAACCCCCCCGCACCUCCUCACCUGGUAAAAUGCCGUACUGGCCUCAAUCUCCUCCAGCGCCACCCCGCUGCCCUCAUCCCAUAUCACGAACCGCUCCGGGUCAAUGGCGCGGAGGCUCACUGCGGCGGCGGGCUGGUCGUGAGGGCCGCAGUACACCAGAGGGGCGGAGCACCCGGGGGGCUGAAGGGGGAGGUCGGGAUGGUAGUGGUCCUCUAACCGCCGGGGGGCGUGGGGAUGGAGUGGCGGAGGGAGGCGGGACGAUAGGAGGCAGUUGGAGAUCAGUUGCUGUACGGCAAGCGGCAUGUUGUGUCCGAAGAGGGGCAGGUCCUGCUGCAGCAGCAGGGGGUGCUCCAGAGCGGCGCACAGCAGGUGCUGCUGCAGUACAUCUGGCUGGUUCACAUCAACCUGGGGGGGGGGGCCCGGUAGGGGGGCGGUAGGGGAAAAACCCUAAGUGUAGGGCGGGGGGGGGGCGGUAGGGGAGAAACUGGCAACUGCAUGGCCAUUUAUCAUUAUAUCUGUAACUCCGUAAAUAUACACAUACUCUCGUUCUCUCAAAAGAUACAAAAAGACACUUUUUCGCUUCUACCUCUUGUUUUUUCAUUGUAUACCAUUUUUCAUUACUUUUCAUGUUACGUAAAUCCCAACACUAUACUGUUGCCCCUCCCAUUUGUCCACAUUCACCAUGGACCCACACACACACACACACACCCGCCACCAUCCCACCACAAAACAAAGGUCUGCGCAUUCACACAAACCCACCCUACCCCCACACCCCCACACACACUCGCCACUUCCCGCUCUCCCCUCUCCACUCCUCCUUAACCAACACACAUACUUACAGACACACACAGACAUACAUACACACAGACAUACACACACGGACAUACACACACGCCCCCCACCUGCACGCUCUCCACCGGCCUCCCGAACAGCUGCUCCGGGUGCCGUACCAGGUGCUGGUCUAGGGGGCCGUCAAACGCCACAAGCACACUGACACUGUCC
rnacentral:lncRNA from 1 species